CACUGUAACAAAAGUCAGUAAAAUAUACAGCAAAACACCGUCAAAUUCCAACGGUAAUGGAGCGUAAAACCAAAAACUUCCUUUUACUGUAUUAAAUAGAUUGAAUAACUGUUAAUUGUGAGACUGGAUAAAACUUUGUUUUUUACUGUAAUAAAAUGUUGAAAUUAUAAAUAUUGUCUGUGAAAACAAAUAAAUAUGCAUACAUUUUACAAUUAAAUAUUGUAAUGUUGAAAAUGUCUGAAAAACUUAGAUUUUACGGUAUUAUUUGAGUAAAACUACAUCUUUUGGGGUUGUGCACAUUGGAAUUCACAGUAUAAAGCUGUAGAUUUUUAAGCAAACAAAAACAUUCAUUUUUACAGAAGCAAGAUGUUAAAAAAUAGGGUCCACCGUAAUAAUACAACCAGUAAAUACCAUUAAAAAAAAAAAAAAAGCAAAUAUCAGCAGUGAAAGACAAUAAAAUUGAUAGUAUUUUUUUUUAUUUUAAAAUUCAGAUACUGAUAUACAGAUUAAAAGUUAGGCCUGCAGUAUAUCAUUGUUAACCUUCUGAUAAAAAAAAAUCAACAGCAAAAGAAGAUGUUAAAAAUAAAGUUCAUGGUUGUGAAUAAAAUUGAUUUCAAUAAUCUUUUUUAAUUAUUAUUUUAAAACAACUUUAUGUUGUUGUGUUUCACGCCAUAUUAUCAGACCACCUUAAGUGGGUCCGCCUUAAAUUUUGAGUUUGUGUGAUGGCUGUUGAUUGGUAGCUAAACUGCUGGUAAACUGUGUACAGACGUUUUACGUUCGAAUUGCAGAGAAAAAAAAAAUUCUGGUAGCAACAUUGUGCAGUAUGAGCGAACCAUUUCACCAAAAAAAGGGGAAGCAAGGCAAGACGUGGCUGCAGCGGUCUGCAGACGUGACUUCUGAUCAAAUUCGAACCUCCUCCUAAAGAAACAAAGAGCGACAUUACAUUGCGGGAUGACGUCACCUGAAAAUGACCAAUAGCGCGGCGCGCUGCUGAGCUGUGUGCCAACCGCUCUUUUUUUCAUGCAGGAGACUCAAGUUGGCUUCGCUAACGGACACAGUUUUGAACUCGUAUAUUAGCGCCAUUUAUUGCUGCUUGGACCACAGCAUCUUCGGAAUUUGUAGACAUCCUGGCAGCUUACAAUUAGUUCGAGGUGAGGUGAGUACAUGCAACUUCAAGUUAUCUCUGUUAUAAAAAUCCACCAGCCCAGCGUUUAUAGAUAAUUUUAGCAGUUCGUUUUUUAUGAGUGAGGUUGUGAAUUUAGUUAGCAUUUGUGAGUUGAGUUAGCAUUAGUGUCACGAGGGAAGCAUUGCUCUGGAUUAGUUUCUGUGUUUGGCGUGCUUAAUUCGCUAGGGAGGAAUUACCAAAGUACAUGGAGUUAUGUUAACCUGUAAUUUCCUUGGUAAGGUAGUUCAGUCAUCAAGGGGCUACGUGAUUUUUUUGGUCAAAACCCAUCAUGUCUCAAGCUAGUACUCUACCAGGAUGCCUUUGAAGUCGUUAACCCUUUAGGCUCUGCAAGGACAAAACACAAGGUAUUAUUUGUAUAUGCAUCAGUGGCAAACUUGCCACUUCAUGUACGCUCAGACACAGAUCACAUGUCUCUUGUCUUACUGUGCAAGGAGAAAGAUUUUAAAGAGUUUGGUCAUGCUAAUGUGUUCUCUGAAUUACUGGCAGACUUGAAAGAAUUGGAGGACAGUGGGAUUGUUGCAUCAGAUGAAACUAGAGUCAAAGGAACUUUGUUUUGCAUUGCUGGUGAUAAUCUGGGUUCUCACUGUAUUGGUGGCUUCACUGAAAACUUUAGUUCUUCAAAGUACUUCUGCAGGUACUGCCUGAUAACGAAAUCUGAAUUUCAGGGUGCUGACCCAAAUCUGUGUGGACCAGAACGUACCAAAGAGAACUACAACUCUGCUGUUGAUCGCCUCCAGAUUGACAAUACACCAGACGUCGAAGGAGUGAAGUUCAGACACUGAAUUUGAGCAGAAACCAUAAGGAUACUCAAAGGACCUGUGACUCUCAGGAAAUGCAUCAAAUGAGAGGGACAGAUGAAACAGUUUCAAGACAAUAGCAGGAAAAACAUGCUGAAGAUUGAAACAAACCUUGGCUGGAAAUAUUUGGUAUGUGUUUUACCGUAAAUCAAAUUGUUGAAAAACAUUCAGCUACACUGCAACACAGGGAAACUUGAUUUGCACUUAUUUUGUUACUUUAAUUUCUUGUCUCAUUAUUUUUGUCAGUUAUUAUUGUUUAUGGUGUAUGCCCUUCUUGUUUUCUUUCUGAAUGCAGAAGGUAUCUAGCCAGUCCACAAUGAAAGCUUUGUUGCACCCCAUGAGUCUUCUGGCAGAAAUGAUGGCGCCUGUAUUCUUUGGUUUCCCUAAACAUCACACCCUGCCUGUUUAUACGAGGCUCUUCAAUUAAGUCUGCACCCAAAGAUUCAAUAAGAGAGGGGAUCCUGCCAGUCCAAAGUGAACUCCUGAUGGACAUUGAAGUACUCCUGCAGAGCUUGUAUCUUCGACACCAUGCGCAUUAGAAACUCCACUGAGUCCUUUCCUUCACCAAGGCAGGACCCAGUGACUCAUUACUGUUGAUAGGUCAGGGGCAGGUAAUAUUUUGUUUCAUGUUUAUUCAUUCCUCUAUGGAUUACCAGCCAUAUAUAUGGACACAUGCUGUAUUCUCAAGAUCUAUGCUGUUUUGUAGGAAUAGAGAAAAUGAUAUGUUUAGUCUGUUUUCAAAUAGUAUGUCAAAUUUUCUCAUUGUUUAUCAGUAAUAUUCACUACCUUGGCUAUAUAUGAGCAUCUUUAGGUUUUUCUAUAUUUAGCGGUUGCAAAUGUAAAAUGUACGGUAAACCAUUUAUGUUCCUCAUAUUGUACUGUAUUUUUAGCGGUAAAAUACCGGCAGCUGUGGUAGCCAGGAAUUUACCGUAAAAUGUAUCUGGUCAAAAUAAAAUGCUGUAAUUUGUUAUACAAUUUCACUGUGUUUUUUACUGUCAAAGGUUUUAAUAAGGUUUAACAUAUUUCUGUUAUUUUUACAGUUAUUUACAAUAAUAGGGUCUAUCCUAUUACUGUUAAAUUAACAACAAAUUACUGUAAAUAUUAUUAUAUCAUAACCUUUUUUUUACUGCAAAUAUCCGUAAAAAGCUAUGGAAAGUUGCAUUUUUUACAUUAAAUUGCUGUAUAAUUGACAAAUAUAUUUGUUUUUUUCUAUCAUGAUUUUGGUAAAAUAAUACGUUGUCUACCUUAAAAUUUAGGGUUACAAAACCAGUAUACCGUAUUGUCUUUUACAGAUUCCACAUUUUUUUCACGGUAUAUUCCUGGCUACCACAGCUGCCGGUAUUUUACCGUAAAUUUGACAGUUUUUUUUUUACAGUGUAG